rnacentral:rRNA from 1 species
GACGAACGCUGGCGGCGUGCCUAAUACAUGCAAGUUGAGCGAUGAAGCUUGGUGCUUGCACCAAUUUGAAGAGCAGCGAACGGGUGAGUAACGCGUGGGGAAUCUGCCUUUGAGCGGGGGACAACAUUUGGAAACGAAUGCUAAUACCGCAUAACAACUUUAAACAUAAGUUUUAAGUUUCAAAGAUGCAAUUGCAUCACUCAAAGAUGAUCCCGCGUUGUAUUAGCUAGUUGGUGAGGUAAAGGCUCACCAAGGCGAUGAUACAUAGCCGACCUGAGAGGGUGAUCGGCCACAUUGGGACUGAGACACGGCCCAAACUCCUACGGGAGGCAGCAGUAGGGAAUCUUCGGCAAUGGACGAAAGUCUGACCGAGCAACGCCGCGUGAGUGAAGAAGGUUUUCGGAUCGUAAAACUCUGUUGGUAGAGAAGAACGUUGGUGAGAGUGGAAAGCUCAUCAAGUGACGGUAACUACCCAGAAAGGGACGGCUAACUACGUG